UUGAAUUUAAUGUAGGGUUGGUUGUUGCUGGCCCAAGGAUUUUUCUUUUUAAUAAAAAAAAUUAUUCUGGGCAUGUGCACACCUUCUCUUUCAUCCACACACACCUGUGCACUUGUGAGACAGAUGCUGGGGACUUUAUUUGAACCCACCUCUGUCUACUUAAUUAACACAAACUCAAUUUAUUUUAAAACGAAUGUAAUUGAUGUAACGCAUCUAAUAC
rnacentral:misc_RNA from 1 species